UUUUUUUCUGCCUCUGUUUGUUUUUGUUUUCCAGGAUUUUCCUUUUGUUUUAGUAAUGGACUAACAAAGUUUAAGCAUCUCAUAUAAAAACAGUGCGCAGAAAAACAUAUUUGGACAGUUUUGGGACUAGAAAUCAGAAACUGCAAUUUUUUAGAUUUUUUCUUGCUUUUUCUCCUCCUCUAUAAACCAUAUCUACUUUUCAUGUUUUGUAGGUGGUGUUUUGCUGUUUUAGAUAGAGCUGUUUGGUGGUUGUUUUUGGUUCUGUUAAGCAAGAGGUGGUGUUUUGCUGUUUUAGAUAGAGCUGUUUCGUGGUUGUUUUUGGUUCUGUUAAGCAAGAGAUAGCUGUAGUAAUCCAACUUUUCUGUUGCUGUUUUUGGAAGUGCUUGCUAGCUUUUCUGAUUACAGUUUUUGCAAGAUGGUAAUAAUGUAUGAGAGCGUCAAGAGGAGGCUGUGAGUAGAAGGCAGUUCUUUGCAGGCUAGACAAGAACCAGCAAAAGUACUUUCUGGACUCGCUCCACUUGAAGCAGUGCUAUUUGAUAUUGAUAGAACUCUGUGUGAUUUAGAUCUCAUUCAUUUCAAUGCCUUCCACAAAAUGCUUAAUAGUGUACAAGAGAAACAAGAAGAGGCUAUGAGUAGAAGGAGGUUCUUUGCAGGCUAGACAAGGUUGAAAAAGAGUUAAAACCCUGCAGAAGACGAGGAAAAAUAGAAACCACUUCUACAGUAGAGCCAACAAGAGAUAGAUCCCUAGAUAGAUCCCCUUUCAACAGACAUCAAGGCAGAAAAAGCCCCUUCCUCCACCAAUAGCAUAUAUGUAAAGACAUGUCCAAACUCUUUUGAACAAGGAGCACCUCAAUUGUUGAUAUUUUGAUU